AAUAAGCUAAAUAAGAGCGUAUGGGGAAUGCCUAGGCUCUCAGAGGCGAUGAAGGACGUGAUAAGCUGCGAAAAGUUGCGGGGAUUGGCACAUACAAAUUGAUCCGCAAAUAUCCGAAUGGGGCAACCCACUAUAUUGAAGAUAUAGUAUUCUGAACUUGUUUCAGGAGGCAAACCCAGGGAACUGAAACAUCUAAGUACCGGGAGGAGAAGAAAACAAAA
rnacentral:rRNA from 1 species